UUUGGAAAAUUCCGCUAAAGAGGGUGAAAGCCCCGUAGACGAAAUGCUAGCAACACCUAGGAGGAUCCUGAGUACGGCGGAACACGAGAAAUUCCGUCGGAAUCCGCGGGGACCAUCCCGCAAGGCUAAAUACUCCCUAGUGACCGAUAGUGAACCAGUACCGUGAGGGAAAGGUGAAAAGCACCCCGGAAGGGGAGUGAAAUAGAUCCUGAAACCGUGUGCCUACAACAAGUCAAAGCUCGUUAAUGAGUGAUGGCGUGCCUUUUGUAGAAUGAACCGGCGAGUUACGAUUGCAUGCGAGGUUAAGUCGAAGAGACGGAGCCGCAGCGAAAGCGAGUCUGAAUAGGGCGAAUGAGUAUGUAGUCGUAGACCCGAAACCAUGUGAUCUACCCAUGUCCAGGUUGAAGGUGCGGUAAAACGCACUGGAGGACCGAACCCACGUACGUUGAAAAGUGCGGGGAUGAGGUGUGGGUAGCGGAGAAAUUCCAAACGAACUUGGAGAUAGCUGGUUCUCUCCGAAAUAGCUUUAGGGCUAGCCUCGGAAUUGAGAAUGAUGGAGGUAGAGCACUGUUUGGACUAGGGGCCCAUCUCGGGUUACCGAAUUCAGAUAAACUCCGAAUGCCAUUCAUUUAUAUCCGGGAGUCAGACUGCGAGUGAUAAGAUCCGUAGUCGAAAGGGAAACAGCCCAGACCACCAGCUAAGGUCCCAAAAUAUAUGUUAAGUGGAAAAGGAUGUGGGGUUGCACAGACAACUAGGAUGUUGGCUUAGAAGCAGCCACCAUUUAAAGAGUGCGUAAUAGCUCACUAGUCGAGUGACCCUGCGCCGAAAAUGUACCGGGGCUAAACAUAUUACCGAAGCUGUGGACUACACCAUUAGGUGUAGUGGUAGGAGAGCGUUCUAAGGGCGUUGAAGGUCGAUCGUGAGGACGGCUGGAGCGCUUAGAAGUGAGAAUGCCGGUAUGAGUAGCGAAAGACAGGUGAGAAUCCUGUCCACCGUAUGACUAAGGUUUCCUGGGGAAGGCUCGUCCGCCCAGGGUUAGUCGGGACCUAAGCCGAGGCCGAUAGGCGUAGGCGAUGGACAACAGGUUGAUAUUCCU
rnacentral:rRNA from 1 species